rnacentral:rRNA from 1 species
AACGAACGCUGGCGGCAGGCUUAACACAUGCAAGUCGAGCGCAUCCUUCGGGGUGAGCGGCAGACGGGUGAGUAACACGUGGGAAUCUACCCAACCCUACGGAAUAGCUCCGGGAAACUGGAAUUAAUACCGUACACGCCCUUAGGGGGAAAGAUUUAUCGGGGAUGGAUGAGCCCGCGUUGGAUUAGCUAGUUGGUGGGGUAAAGGCCUACCAAGGCGACGAUCCAUAGCUGGUCUGAGAGGAUGAUCAGCCACAUUGGGACUGAGACACGGCCCAAACUCCUACGGGAGGCAGCAGUGGGGAAUAUUGGACAAUGGGCGCAAGCCUGAUCCAGCCAUGCCGCGUGAGUGAUGAAGGCCUUAGGGUUGUAAAGCUCUUUCACCGGAGAAGAUAAUGACGGUAUCCGGAGAAGAAGCCCCGGCUAACUACGUGCCAGCAGCCGCAGUAA